CUUUUUUCCACACCCUCUCCAGCAUUUAUUGUUUGUAAAUUUUUUGAUGAUGUUUGCUGCCAGUUUAUAAAUAUUGAAUAGUUUCUUCUGAAUUUUGGCCCACUCUAGAAUUUGGUCAUCAUAAGAAGCAAACCAGUCCAAAUUUAUAAUAAAGUCAAACAAAAUUUAUUUAAACAUCAGUUUGCCCUGGGUCAUUGUCGAUUUAUUGGUUGUCAUCUUUUCUUUCUCAGCUGUGAUUCCAUUACAUUAUCACUAUUAUGUAUACAUGUCAGUGAUGUGGAAAUAUAAUCUGUUUUCUUGGCAGUGUGAAAUUUGUCUUCAGAAAAGGCACUCAUGAAAAUUGUUUCCUUUAAGAUGAAAAACCAUUAAUUUGAAGCAAAUGCUAUUAUGUUUACCUAUAAUUAAAAGUACAAACUGACUUUGGCUAGAAGUGAAAUGCUUCCUGUGACAUAUUCGUAAUGAGACAGUCUUCUAGAUCUUGAGAAAACAUGGCAGUGGAAGUGGAUCCAAAGUAUAAGCUAAAAUCAGGCAUGGAAAAUCCCAUAGGAAGUCACACUGAUUCCAGGAGAAAAAGAAGUACCGAAUCAAUAUUGCCCUAAUUAAUAUUUAACCUGUAUAUAAACAAAUAUGGGUCAAGAGGAAUGGUUCUCAACUUGUGGUCCCCAGACCAGCAACAUCAGCUUCAUCUGGGAACUUGUGAAAAAAUUCUAACUCUUGGGUCCCAACCAGUCCUAUCCAAUCAGAAACUUCAGGAGUGGGGCUUAUAGUCUUUGCUUCAACAGGCCCUAUAGGUGAUUCUGAUAAAUGUUCACAUUUUAGUUUCACGGGCCUGGAGGAUUUUUAAAAAAAGUUCUUACUGCCACAGAAAUGCAUACUGUAAUAAGAUUGAGAAAACCUCUAAAUAUUUCUUUUUUAUUUCUUAUUUCUAAUUUUUCUUGUUUCUGUCCAUUGGUGGCAGUAAGAACAGGGAAAGGAAGGGGGAUUUAUGCUUCCUGUUGUGAUAUAUGAUGAUUAUUUUUCUGAUGACAACUCACUAUCACAGUCUUGGUCUCUUAUACCCGUGAGUCACCUCACUACUCCAGUUCAACUAAACUAACCAACAGACCAAAAAAUAAACCAGGCGGUGUUUACAAGUGAUCCUCAUACAAACUACCUCCCUGUGCAGUUCCGGUCACCCAGUCAAGCAGAGACUCAGCGUGGAGACGUGUCUGUUAUUUCUAUCAACGGCACCGACUUUCCCUUCCGAAGUGUGGGCAUCCUCCUCCUGGUUGUGGAUGCCUGCAGUGUUCCCUUCCGGUUGACAGAAAAAAAGGUUUUCUCUUUCACUGAUGUCAGUCGCAUGGAAGAAUAUUUAAAAACAAGCAUCCCUCCAAGGUCAGUUGUCCUGUUGAGCACAAGAGGACAGAUAAAGCAGUUGAAUAUUUCGGAUUCAUUAGUACCUCUGGGAUUAGCCAAGCCAGCCAAUCUUUAUAACAAAGGGAGUACCAUAUUUUUGGGAUUCAAUGGAAACUUUAAACCAUCAUGGACUAAGCUGUAUACCAGCCCUGCUAGACAGGGCCUCGGGCUGCUUGAACAAUUCAUACCUUUGCAGCUGGACGAAUACGGUUGUCACAGAGCUGGCACUAUCCGCCGAAGAGACCUGGAGCUGUUGAAGCAAACUUCAAAGGCACAUUAGAGACUUAACUGUAACUUAAGUGCUGGGGGAUAAAAAUGUGAACUAACUUAUUUAAUUUAUGGCAUUUUAAAAUGACACUGUUAACCCAAUGGAACCAUUUUCCUGUUUGAUGCAGAAAGGGGAGAAAAGUAAGAGUUUAAAGUGAUUGCUUGAAUACCAGCUCACGCACCUUCUAGUUGUACAAAAUGUUAAAGAAUUUAUUUGUAUUUGUUAGGCUGGUAUAUUUCAGAGAUCAGUUCUCUUAUCCCUCACGUCCCACUCCUGUGUUUUGUAGUGACCAUAAACAGUGCUUCACCUUUUGUACAAAAUGGGAUGUUGUGAGGGAAGGGGAGCUUCUGAGAGUCAGCCUGAGUCCUUGAAAGGACCAGCUCUUGUAGCACCUUGGAUACUUGAAGUCUAAUGUUCACUUGUGUCGUUGACUUUGGGUCAGCAGUUGACCUGGGUGGCUGGCAUGUUCAGGAAUGCCUUGGGCCCUGAUUCCAGGCAGCCUUUGAGGAUUUUGUAUGAUACUGAAUGAUGGAGUUUUAAGUGGCAACUCAGGCCCAGCUCAUGCCCUAUUUUGCUUGGACAUGUGCUAUUUUUAUUCAUUUGUAUAUUGAUUCCUUCUAAGGAUUCAGCUUUCAAACAGCAAGUAUUAUUGGGAAAAAAGGGCUUUUAUGGGUUCGACAUCCCUUUAAUCUGUGACCAUUGGGCAAAAAUUGGACCUGCACCAUGGUCUGAUGUUGGUGGGACCAUUUUUGCAGCUUUAAUCCUUAGCCUGUUUGACUGUAUAUUUGUAUUUAAAAUGCAGAGCUGAGCUAAAUAUUUACAUUUUUUAAGAAAAGAAGCAGGCCAUUUUCCUGAACUAUAAACUUGUGUCAUUUCAACUUGCACAAAGGAAGUCUGUUCUUGGAGUUGCUCCUGCACCUGUUUUUUAAAUUUGUUUUUGUGUGUGGAUUUUUUUAAAAGAGCUUCUCUGCUCACCAACCUGGCAGGACAAUUGCAAACAACUUAAUGGUACCCCGAAAUAUUGUACUCAGGGAGAGGAAAAACAGGAGAACCUUUUAAGGGCCAGAAUCAAGGAGAGAAUAUUCAGAAACAAACCUCUUUUUAGCCUUAGAGGAGUCCAUCACUCUUAAGGAAGUCGUUAGGAGCCCACUGAAAAAAAGGCACUGUGAUGCCCUAUUUUUCUUCCUACUGGGUGUGUGCGUCUCCCGCCAGUGAGGACUGCCUGUGGCUAAAGGAGAUGGGUGCCACAGCCAGGAUGUCAUUACACCAAGAGGAAAGAGGUGUUGAAAUGCUUUUAUCUUUUCCUAAACCCACAAUGCAUGAUGUGUAAGGUGGGGAUGGCCACAGCAAGGAAUAUGUUCAGGCUGACUUUGGCAUUGAGUACAGACAAAUUCACUCUUCUCUAUCAAGAGCAACAGCUAACAGCCUGAAACUGCAGAGCAGCUCUGUGACUUUAUCUCCAUUACUUUACAAAAUAUGCUACCUCAAAGUGCUACCGAUAAACCUUUCUAAAUGUAAGUACUCUUGUUAAGAGUACAUGUCUUAAUCAAAGUUUAGGUUUUGGGGUGUUCUUUUUUGUACAUUGAUGAAUGAAAUCUUACCUAUUAAAUAUAUUAUUGGAUCAUGGUUCCUCAAGGUGAUUAAAGUUUGUGUGUGUGUAUUUUUUUUAUGACAAAUAUCUUUUAUGUGUGAUUUUUAGAGUUUGGCUCUUUAAAGAUUUGAAGAGGAUAUGUAAGUUCUAAAGCACUCAGUUUUUCUGAUUUAUGUGCUAAUGGUCAGGGCCCAAUUUAAAUAAAAAUAUGUGUGCAUGUA